GCAAGCGAAUUAAGGGCGCAUGGAGGAUACCUAGGCUCUCAGAGGCGAUGAAGGACGUGAUAAGCUGCGAUAAGCUACGGGGAACAGCACAUAUGUCUUGAUCCGUAGAUUUCCGAAUGGGGCAACCCAGUACCAUGAAGUGGUAUUACCCURCGGGGGGCGAACGUGGGGAACUGAAACAUCUAAGUACCCACAGGAGAAGAAAAUAAUAAUGAUUCCGCAAGUAGUGGCGAGCGAACGCGGAAGAGCCCAAACCGGCCUGGUUACGGCCAGACCGGGGUUGUAGGACUCACCAAGUGUAUAACAAUUGAACUGGAAUGGCGUGGGAAAGCCAACCAUAGAGGGUGAGAGUCCUGUACAGGUAAGAGCGUUAUAUGAGUGAGUAUCCUGAGUAGGUGGGGACCGGAGAAAUCCCCUUCGAAUCCGGCGGCACCAUCCGCCAAGGCUAAAUA
rnacentral:rRNA from 1 species